rnacentral:sRNA from 1 species
AGUGACCUCCACUUCUCGGGAGUGGCCAGGAGGUACCAGGUUGCCCAUCACGGCAGCACCUUCUCGUUUGCUCCCCUGGCCCUGGCAGCCCUCGCCUUGGCAGAGAGGAGGACAGAAGUGGGUCCUUGCCAGGCCGUCUGGGAGGUCCCCGCAGGAAGGGGUUCCUGCCUAGAUAGCAGCAGAGUGUCCGCCCAGGGAUCAGAUCAAACACGGGUUUGUCCAGCCUCUGGAGCUCCAUUCUGCUCACCCCCUCUCACUUCCUGGCAUCCGUGUCCCCUGUCUGCAACUGUGUCUGAUGGCGAGUUGACGGGCGCCGACCUGAAGGACUGCGUCAGCAACAACAGCCUGAGCAGCAAUGCCAGCCUCCCCAGCGUGCAGAGCUGCCGGCGCCUGCGUGAGAGGAGGGUCGCCAGCUGGGCCGUGUCCUUUGAGCGCCUGCUGCAGGACCCCGUCGGUGUCCGCUACUUCUCUGAUUUUCUAAGGAAAGAAUUCAGUGAAGAAAACAUUUUAUUCUGGCAGGCCUGUGAAUAUUUUAAUCAUGUUCCUGCACAUGACAAAAAGGAGCUUUCCUACAGGGCCCGGGAGAUUUUCAGUAAGUUUCUCUGCAGCAAAGCCACCACCCCGGUCAACAUCGACAGCCAGGCCCAGCUAGCAGACGAUGUGCUCCGCGCACCUCACCCAGAUAUGUUCAAGGAGCAGCAGCUCCAGAUCUUCAAUCUCAUGAAGUUUGAUAGCUACACUCGCUUUCUGAAGUCCCCGCUGUACCAGGAAUGCAUCCUGGCGGAAGUGGAGGGCCGCGCACUGCCGGACUCGCAGCAGGUCCCCAGCAGCCCGGCUUCCAAGCACAGCCUCGGUUCAGACCACUCCAGUGUGUCCACGCCAAAAAAGUUAAGUGGAAAAUCAAAAUCCGGCCGAUCCCUGAAUGAAGAGCUGGGGGAUGAGGAGAGCGAGAAGAAGCGGAAAGGCGCGUUUUUCUCGUGGUCACGGACCAGGAGCACCGGGAGGUCCCAGAAGAAGAGGGAGCACGGGGACCACGCAGACGACGCCCUGCAUGCCAAUGGAGGCCUGUGUCGCCGAGAGUCACAGGGCUCUGUGUCCUCUGCGGGGAGCCUGGACCUGUCGGAGGCCUGCAGGACUUUGGCACCCGAGAAGGACAAGGCCACCAAGCACUGCUGCAUUCAUCUCCCGGAUGGGACAUCCUGCGUGGUGGCUGUCAAGGCGGGCUUCUCCAUCAAAGACAUCCUGUCCGGACUCUGUGAGCGGCAUGGCAUCAACGGGGCGGCCGCGGACCUCUUCCUGGUGGGCGGGGACAAGCCUCUGGUGCUGCACCAAGACAGUAGCAUCUUGGAGUCAAGGGACCUGCGCCUAGAAAAGCGCACCUUGUUUCGGCUGGAUCUUGUUCCGAUUAACCGGUCAGUGGGACUCAAGGCCAAGCCCACCAAGCCCGUCACGGAGGUGCUGCGGCCCGUGGUGGCCAAAUACGGCCUGGACCUCAGUGGCCUGCUGGUGAGGCUGAGUGGAGAGAAGGAGCCCCUGGACCUUGGCGCCCCUAUAUCGAGUCUGGACGGACAGCGGGUUGUCUUGGAGGAGAAGGAUCCUUCCAGAGGAAAGGCAUCCGCAGAUAAACAGAAAGGUGUGCCAGUGAAACAGAACACAGCUGUAAAUUCCAGCUCCAGAAACCACUCGGCUACGGUAAUUCCCCACCCUGGCCCACCCUGUGCCCUGCUCCUCUCGCUGUGGCCCCCGCCUGCCCUGUGCAGUGCCCUGGUGCUUCCUUACCGCCUGCUUAUCACUGUGUGUCUCCCCCACGCUCCUUGGCGGGGUCUCUCUUGUCCCUGCCGAUGCCCAGCUCCCUCUUACCUGUGAAGGACUGGCUUUCUUUUCUUCUGAGGUGGGAGUGGUUGUGCCUUAAAUGCUAUUCUUGUUUGUAAUCCUUAUCAUUGCAAUGGUUUUUCUGCAAUGCAUGUAAAUUCUGUAUCAAUGCAAUCUAUUUCAUAGAGCCUUCUACUCUCUAACUAAUGAAUGAUGUAUUGUCGUGUAUUGAAAUGAAAGUAGAACUUUGACUUUCCUUCUAAUGCAGGGAGAGGAAAGAACACUAGGCAAGUCUAAUUCUAUUAAAAU